GGAGGGACACCAGCCCUCCGUGACCUGAGUUGUGCACCACUGCCCUAAAGGGACAUUGGUGGAAAUUAAAAACAGUAGGGUGGGCAAACAGAGUGUGGUCGGAUUCUGCCCCUAUGAAAAGGACAGUGUGCGGAUCGUGAAUGCAGCUGUUAAUAUAUAAAUCUCACAAAACAGCAUUCAUUGGAUUGUACAAUUCACCUGGAUUACAUUUGGCACAAAAAGCUUACUUUUGUAAGUGGAUUUAAAAAAGGGUUAGUAUCUCGGGCCUUGCGCAAGACUUACUGGUGAGCAGGAGUUAGUAUCUUGUUGCCUGCGCAGACACUUCUCGGUGGAUAGGUUAGGAGACAAUCACCAGAUUUUCCGCAUGGCACAUGAAAAACUGCAAGUGAAAGCUAUUUCACCACAAUGAAAGGUUUCAUGAUAAGAAGUAAAUUGAGUCAUGAAUGCGUCUUAGUGAUUUGUGAGUUAUGGGACCGACUGCCGCCACGUUGUUGAUCGAGCGCGAUCGGGUUUUUGUUCUUAGUUAAAAGUGGAUGCAAAUACAUAGUAAAAUUACCAUUAAUCUACCCAAAUGACAGUAUUGCAAACUAAAAAAGAAAUUACAAAAUAAGAGAAAAUCAAAUGAAGCAAUAAUAAUAAUAAUAAUAAUAAUAACCAACCGUACUAGCAGUAGCAGGCCACGUGAUCCGAACCCUGGUUUUAAUUGGAGGAGCCCAGAUAUUUCUUUUUCAUCAGACAAGCCUCCGUUAUAAACUCCUAUCUCUGUAGCCACAGCACUAGCAAUGACAGGUGACGUAGUCUGAGCCCUGGUUUUAAUUGGAGUAGCAAUUUGUCAUUUAAGUUUAGCAAAUUGGGUCUAUAUUGGAUGUGCUUUGUUUGUGUCUGCCUUUCUCCUGCUGUAACAACUUUGUUCCGAAAAUAUUUUAUGGAGAGUAUGUUAGUGACGUGGUCCUGAAAUCGACAUGCUAUAUUAAUGUUGCAUGAUAUGGGCUAGUGGAGAAAAUACUUUUAACAGCCAAAUUGGGGUAAUUCUGUUCAGACUGCACUUGUAGAUCUCUUGAUCUACCCCUCCUACUAAUAAUCUCUGGUCUUCCCUAAUCUAAGGAACAUGUUACUGGAUGCUCAGCUAAUGCACUAUUACACUACUAGUAUGUCAUUGUAGAUAUACCCUCUUGUAAUCCUGGCUUGUUGCAUCCUUGUUCGUAUUGUAGUAGUAUUAUUAUAUAUAUAGUCACGAACAUAAACAUGAACAGCUUCAGCACUGCCGGUUUUGACUCACUUUCCAUAAUGAAGGCUUCUGUGCCAGAGAUAUUGUGGAACAAAAACUAAAUUAGGUCUUCCUUUUGGUAAGUUUGAAUGUGUUGUAAUGAUAUGGGAUGUCUUAAAUGCUUAAGCAAAUGGGUUAUUUCAACUUUUACAAGUUAAAACUGUGAAACACUUCAAUGAAGUGACAAUAUUAAAUAUUAAAACUGUUAACACCCCUAAUGUUUGAUACAUCUCCUGUACGAUUUUGAUCAAUGAGGAACUAUUUUUUUUGCCUUUUACGUAGCGGACCUUGGUGACGUUCUUAAGAAGCACAUGCGAUGGACACGCACCCUUCCUCGUGUGACUCCAUAUUAUGCUGUGAAAUGUAAUGACAGCAAAGCUGUAGUGAUGACCCUUGCUUCCCUGGGUGCAGGAUUUGAUUGUGCAAGCAAGGUUGGUUCUUCGUAUUGCCACAGAUGACUCUAAAGCAGUGUGCCGUUUGAGUGUGAAAUUUGGUGCAACACUUAAAUCCUCCAGAUCCUUACUUGAGCGUGCCAUGGAACUGGGUGUUGAUGUUAUUAGAGUAAGCUUCCAUGUUGGCAGUGGCUGUACUGAUCCUGAAACAUACACCCAGGCCAUUUCAGAUGCUCGUUGUGUCUUUGGGAACAGAACUUGCGUUCAACAUAGAUUUGUGGAUAUUGGUGAUGGAUUCCCUGGCUCGGAAGAUGUUAAGAUGAAGUUUGCAGAGGUAAAUGUUUAUUCUCAACUCCUUAGUAAAGCCAUAGUGGUUUACUUUAAAGUGACUGUAAAUCUGCCCUGUAUUAUGAAACAAUUCAUGUUAUUAACACCUCCUGUCUCCAUUUAUCAACAGUCAAUAUAUGAAGGAUCUCAUUUGUGUUUAUUUUUAGUUUACUGAUGUGGUCAACACUGCUCUUGAGAAAUACUGCCGUCGCUUCUGGUGUUACACCCUUACUGUUACACAGUUCAACUGUCCAGUUUCUAAUAGCUAAGCGUUUACAUGAUCGUUUACUCUGUAUUAGGGCGAUAUACUCCAGAG